rnacentral:rRNA from 1 species
UACGUAGGCAGCGAGCGUUGUUCGGAGUUACUGGGCGUAAAGGGUGUGUAGGCGGUUGUUUAAGUUUGGUGUGAAAUCUCCCGGCUCAACUGGGAGGGUGCGCCGAAUACUGAAUGACUUGGAGUGCGGGAGAGGUGAGUGGAAUUCCUGGUGUAGCGGUGAAAUGCGUAGAUAUCAGGAGGAACACCGGUGGUGUAGACGGCUCACUGGACCGUAACUGGCGCUGAGACACGAAAGCGUGGGUAGCAAACAGG